CCUACGGGAGGCUGCAGUAACGAAUCUUCGUCAAUGCACGAAAGUGUGAACGAGCGACGCCGCGUGGAGAUGAAGUCCUUCGGGAUGUAAACUCCUGUCAGGGGAAAGUCACCCCAGAGGAAGAGACGGCUAACUCUGUGCCAGCAGCCGCGGUAAUACAGAGGUCUCGAGCGUUAGGCGGAAUCACUGGGCUUAAAGCGUGUGUAGGCGGAUGCCUAAGUACCUUGUGAAAUCCCACGGCUUAACCGUGGAACUGCUUGGUAUACUGGGCAUCUUGAGCCACCUAGGGGCGGGCGGAACAGAUGGUGGAGCGGUGAAAUGCGUAGAUAUCAUAUGGAACGCCAAUGGUGAAAACAGCUCGCUGGGGGUGGCUGACGCUGAGACACGAAAGCCAGGGGAGCGAACGGGAUUAGAUACCCUGGUAGUC
rnacentral:rRNA from 1 species